rnacentral:rRNA from 1 species
UACGAAGGGUGCAAGCGUUGUUCGGAAUUACUGGGCGUAAAGCGCGCGUAGGCGGGUUUGAAAGUCGAUUGUGAAAUCCCUGGGCUUAACCCGGGAAUGGCAGUCGAAACUCCAAAUCUUGAGUGCCUGAGAGGAUGGCGGAAUAACCGGUGUAGUAGUGAAAUACGUAGAUAUCGGUUAGAACACCUGAGGCGAAGGCGGCUAUCUGGCGGUGCACUGACGCUGAGGCGCGAAAGCGUGGGGAGCAAACAGG